rnacentral:tRNA from 1 species
GGCUCGUUGGUCUAGGGGUAUGAUUCUUGCUUUGGGUGUGAGAGAUCCCGGGUCCAAAUCCCGGACGAGCCC